GACGAACGCUUUUAGGCGUGCUUAACACAUGCAAGUCGAACGGAAAGGCCCUGCUUUUGUGGGGUGCUCGAGUGGCGAACGGGUGAGUAACACGUGAGUAACCUGCCCUUGACUUUGGGAUAACUUCAGGAAACUGGGGCUAAUACCGGAUAGGAGCUCCUGCUGCAUGGUGGGGGUUGGAAAGUUUCGGCGGUUGGGGAUGGACUCGCGGCUUAUCAGCUUGUUGGUGGGGUAGUGGCUUACCAAGGCUUUGACGGGUAGCCGGCCUGAGAGGGUGACCGGCCACAUUGGGACUGAGAUACGGCCCAGACUCCUACGGGAGGCAGCAGUGGGGAAUAUUGCACAAUGGGCGGAAGCCUGAUGCAGCAACGCCGCGUGCGGGAUGACGGCCUUCGGGUUGUAAACCGCUUUCGCCUGUGACGAAGCGUGAGUGACGGUAAUGGGUAAAGAAGCACCGGCUAACUACGUGCCAGCAGCCGCGGUGAUACGUAGGGUGCGAGCGUUGUCCGGAUUUAUUGGGCGUAAAGGGCUCGUAGGUGGUUGAUCGCGUCGGAAGUGUAAUCUUGGGGCUUAACCCUGAGCGUGCUUUCGAUACGGGUUGACUUGAGGAAGGUAGGGGAGAAUGGAAUUCCUGGUGGAGCGGUGGAAUGCGCAGAUAUCAGGAGGAACACCAGUGGCGAAGGCGGUUCUCUGGGCCUUUCCUGACGCUGAGGAGCGAAAGCGUGGGGAGCGAACAGGCUUAGAUACCCUGGUAGUCCACGCUGUAAACGGUGGGUACUAGGUGUGGGGUCCAUUCCACGGGUUCCGUGCCGUAGCUAACGCUUUAAGUACCCCGCCUGGGGAGUACGGCCGCAAGGCUAAAACUCAAAGGAAUUGACGGGGCCCCGCACAAGCGGCGGAGCAUGCGGAUUAAUUCGAUGCAACGCGUAGAACCUUACCUGGGUUUGACAUGGAUCGGGAGUGCUCAGAGAUGGGUGUGCCUCUUUUGGGGUCGGUUCACAGGUGGUGCAUGCCUGUCGUCAGCUCGUGUCGUGAGAUGUUGGGUUAAGUCCCGCAACGAGCGCAACCCUUGUUCACUGUUGCCAGCACGUUAUGGUGGGGACUCAGUGGAGACCGCCGGGGUCAACUCGGAGGAAGGUGGGGAUGACGUCAAGUCAUCAUGCCCCUUAUGUCCAGGGCUUCACGCAUGCUACAAUGGCUGGUACAGAGAGUGGCGAGCCUGUGAGGGUGAGCGAAUCUCGGAAAGCCGGUCUCAGUUCGGAUUGGGGUCUGCAACUCGACCUCAUGAAGUCGGAGUCGCUAGUAAUCGCAGAUCAGCAACGCUGCGGUGAAUACGUUCCCGGGGCU
rnacentral:rRNA from 1 species